rnacentral:snRNA from 1 species
AUACCUUUCUCGGCCUUUUGGCUAAGAUCAAGUGUAGUAUCUGUUCUUAUCAGUUUAAUAUCUGAUACGUGGGCCAUCGGUCCACAUGAUAUUAAAUUAAUUUUUUCAGGGGGAGAGUCCGCCACAGUAGCUUGCUACUGGGGCUCUCGGGUGUCACCUUGGCGUUGCACUACUGCCUUGGCUUGGCGCACCCCAC